rnacentral:rRNA from 1 species
UAGGGAAUAUUGCGCAAUGGACGAAAGUCUGACGCAGCGACGCCGCGUGGGUGAUGAAGGUCUUUUGAUUGUAAAGCCCUGUGAGGGGGGACGAAAAAUUAAAAAUUGACGGUACCCCCAGAGGAAGGACCGGCUAAACACGUGCCAGCAGCCGCGGUAAUACGUGUGGUCCGAGCGUUGUCCGGAGUGACUGGGCGUAAAGGGUGCGUAGGCUGGUAUGCAAGUCAGGUGUGAAAUCCCCGGGCUCAACUGGGGAACGUCGCCUGAAACUGCGUAUCUUGAGACUGUGAGGGGCAAGCGGAAUUCCCGGAGUAGCGGUGAAAUGCGUAGAUAUCGGGAAGAACACCGGUGGCGAAGGCGGCUUGCUGGGGCAGAUCUGACGCUGAGGCACGAAAGCGUGGGGAGCGAACA